GACGAACCGUGCGAACGUUGUUCGGAAUCACUGGGCUUAAAGGGCGCGUAGGCGGGUCAUCAAGUCAGGGGUGAAAUACUUCGGCUUAACCGGAGAAGUGCUUUUGAUACUGGUGACCUCGAGGGGUGUAGGGGCAUGUGGAACUUCCGGUGGAGCGGUGAAAUGCGUAGAUAUCGGAAGGAACGCCGGUGGCGAAAGCGGCUCUCUGGGACGGUACUGACGCUGAGACGCGAAAGCGUGGGGAGCAAACAGG
rnacentral:rRNA from 1 species